rnacentral:rRNA from 1 species
CGUACCGUGGAUAUCUGCCCUUUGGUGGAGGAUAACCCCGGGAAACUGGGGAUAAUACUCCAUAAGUCAGGAGUACUGGAAUGUCUCCUAACUGAAAGUUGCGGCGCCAUAGGAUGAAUCUGCGGCCGAUUUAGGUAGUUGUUGGGGUAACGGCCCAACAAGCCUGUAAUCGGUACGGGUUGUGGGAGCAAGAGCCCUGAUUAUCUACCUCUUAUACACGAUUCCAGGCCCUACGGGGCGCAGCACUGCUGCGAAAACUUUACAAUGCAGGAAACUCGCUGCUAAGGGAACCCCGAGUGCCCGUAAACGCGGGCUGUCCCGGUGUUUAAAACACAUCGGAAGAAAGGGCCGGGCAAGACCGGUGCCAGCCGCCGCGGUAAUACCGGCGGCUCGAGUGGUGACCACUUUUUAUUGGGCUUAAAGCGUUCGUAGCUUGAUUUUUAAGUCUCUUGGGAAAUCUCACGGCUUACUGUGAGGCGUCUAAGAGAUACUGGAAUUCUAGGACCGGGAGAGUAAGAGGUACUUCAGGGUAGAGUGAAAUUCUGUAUUCUUGAGGACCACGAUGGC